GACGGAGGGUGCGAGCGUUAUUCGGAAUCAUUGGGCGUAAAGAGCGUGUAGGCGGCCGGUUAAGUCAGGUGUGAAAGCCCGGGGCUCAACCUCGGAAGUGCACUUGAAACUGGUCAGCUUGAGUUCGGGAGAGGGAAGCGGAAUUCCUGGUGUAGAGGUGAAAUUCGUAGAUAUCAGGAGGAACACCGGUGGCGAUGGCGGCUUCCUGGACCGAAACUGACGCUGAGACGCGAAAGCGUGGGGAGUAAACAGG
rnacentral:rRNA from 1 species